AUGAUUUGGACCGGCUCUACAAGCUCUAGGUUUGAAAAACAUACUUUUCUCUUCCCGGAAUCAUAUGAUUGUGGAGACACUACACAUGCAGCGUUUUCUCAUGUUGUUUCUCCCAAUAAAUGGUUAUGUGCGGUUUGUUCUGAGCAACGAUUUAUCGACAAUCUCUUCCGUUCAACUUUUUCUUUGCAAGUUCCGAAUUUUUUUCCGGAAGUUUCAACUUAUUUUGCAACAAAGAUUAAGCUUGUAAUAAUUUUCUCCGGAACCUCCAAUGAAAAAAAUUCUACAGUUUGGAUAAUUUUACCCUGA
rnacentral:rRNA from 1 species